rnacentral:rRNA from 1 species
GAUGAACGCUGGCGGCGUGCCUAAUACAUGCAAGUCGAGCGAACAGAUGAGGAGCUUGCUCCUCUGACGUUAGCGGCGGACGGGUGAGUAACACGUGGAUAACCUACCUAUAAGACUGGGAUAACUUCGGGAAACCGGAGCUAAUACCGGAUAAUAUAUUGAACCGCAUGGUUCAAUAGUGAAAGACGGUUUUGCUGUCACUUAUAGAUGGAUCCGCGCCGCAUUAGCUAGUUGGUAAGGUAACGGCUUACCAAGGCAACGAUGCGUAGCCGACCUGAGAGGGUGAUCGGCCACACUGGAACUGAGACACGGUCCAGACUCCUACGGGAGGCAGCAGUAGGGAAUCUUCCGCAAUGGGCGAAAGCCUGACGGAGCAACGCCGCGUGAGUGAUGAAGGUCUUCGGACCGUAAAACUCUGUUAUUAGGGAAGAACAAAUGUGUAAGUAACUAUGCACGUCUUGACGGUUCCUAAUCAGAAAGCCACGGCUAACUACGUG